rnacentral:rRNA from 1 species
UACGAAGGGUGCAAACGUUGCUCGGAAUUAUUGGGCGUAAAGCGCACGUAGGCGGCUUUGCAAGUCCCAUGUGAAAUCCCACGGCUCAACCGUGGAAGUGCAUGGGAAACUGCAGAGCUUGAGUACUUAAGAGGAUCGCGGAAUUCCCGGUGUAGAGGUGAAAUUCGUAGAUAUCGGGAGGAACACCAGUGGCGAAGGCGGCGAUCUGGGAAGAUACUGACGCUGAGGUGCGAAAGCGUGGGGAGUAAACAGG